UACGGAGGAUCCAAGCGUUAUCCGGAUUCAUUGGGUUUAAAGGGUGCGUAGGCGGAGUAGUAAGUCAGUGGUGAAAGCCUGUCGCUUAACGACAGAACUGCCAUUGAUACUGCUAAUCUUGAGUACAUUUGAAGUGGGCGGAAUGUGUAGUGUAGUGGUGAAAUACGUAGAUAUUACACAGAACACCGAUUGCGAAGGCAGCUCACUAAACUGUAACUGACGCUGAGGCACGAAAGCGUGGGGAUCAAACAGG
rnacentral:rRNA from 1 species